ACUCAAAGGAAUAGACGGGGACCCGCACAAGCGGUGGAGCAUGUGGUUUAAUUCGAAGCAACGCGAAGAACCUUACCAGGGUUUGACAUACGAGUGCAACAUUUAGAGAUAAAUGGUUCCUUCGGGACACUCGAUACAGGUGGUGCAUGGUUGUCGUCAGCUCGUGUCGUGAGAUGUUGGGUUAAGUCCCGCAACGAGCGCAACCCUUAUCGCUAGUUACUAACAUUAAGUUGAGGACUUUAGCGAGACUGCCAGUGAUAAACUGGAGGAAGGCGGGGAUGAGGUCAAAUCAUCAUGCCCCUUAUACCCUGGGCUACACACGUGCUACAAUGGUGCAUACAAAGAGAAGCGAAACGGUGACGUCAAGCAAACCUCAUAAAGUGCAUCUCAGUUCGGAUUGUAGUCUGCAACUCGACUACAUGAAGAUGGAAUCGCUAGUAAUCGCGGAUCAGAAUGCCGCGGUGAAUACGUUCCCGGGUCUUGUACACACCGCCCGU
rnacentral:rRNA from 1 species